rnacentral:rRNA from 1 species
CUACGGGACGCAGCAGUAAGGAAUAUUGGACAAUGGGCGCAAGCCUGAUCCCGCCAUGCCGCGUGAGUGAAGAAGGUCUUCGGAUUGUAAAGCUCUUUUGCCAGGGACGAUAAUGACGGUACCUGGAGAAUAAGCCCCGGCAAACUUCGUGUCAGCAGCCGCGGUAUACGAAGGGGGCUAGCGUUGUUCGGAAUUACUGGGCGUAAAGCGCACGUAGGCGGGUGGUUAAGUCAGGGGUGAAAUCCCGGAGCUCAACUCCGGAACUGCCUUUGAUACUGGCCAUCUAGAGAUCGGAAGAGGUGAGUGGAAUUCCCAGUGUAGAGGUGAAAUUCGUAGAUAUUGGGAAGAACACCAGUGGCGAAGGCGGCUCACUGGUCCGAUACUGACGCUGAGGUGCGAAAGCGUGGGGAGCAAACAGGAUUAGAUACCCCAGUAGUC